CCUCCCUCCUGAUAUAGGUGGUUCUGAUCUACUGAACCUCCACUAGGAGUGAAGUCUUUAGGAACUACUCAACUAAAAUCAUCUUCCUUCCUUAUAGGUGGUAGGCAUACUGGCCUGACUUGUAGCAGAUAACUGCUCACCUAGAGAUAUCCUUACACUGAAGAGACCUGCUGACCAGUGAUGUGGUCCACUCUUUUUACAGAGUCUGUGGCUCCCUGCUCACAUUUUUGGAUACCACCAGUUCACACUACUGUGCAAUUUGCAGAGGAAUUUGGAUAAGAAGAACCAUCGAAGAUUGGGAACCUACUGGGAAACCUAGAACUUCCCAGGUAAGUUUCGUUCAUUUAUAUAUUCACCCUACAAACAUUUGUUAAGUAUUUCUAUGUACCAGGAACUGUUAGAGGUAUUGGUGAUUCACAGUUUUAAUACUCUUUGAAAAGUCUCUAUUGCAGGUAAGGAGUUAGAUGUUAAUAAAGAACUCAAUGCUUCUGUCA
rnacentral:lncRNA from 1 species